rnacentral:lncRNA from 1 species
UGAAAAUUAACAAAAUUAUUUUCUGACUACCAGGAUACUUUUUUCCCUGUGAGCUGUUGAUUGCUCCUGUACUGUUGCUCCUGCUGGUCUCCAAGUCAUGGCUGAUUGCUUUCUGUGCAAUUUUGUUGGGCCAUAACCUGCCAUACUGUUGAGGAGGGAGACUCCCACACGUUCACACAUAGUUAAGAAGAGGUGAUUUCUAUGGUGAAGAACUAGGUGUUUUCUUCACAAAUGUGCUGAUGGGGAAAAUGGUAACACCUGAAGAUACAGAAGGCAGAACAAAAAACUCCUACGUGCUUCAGCUGUGGCUUCUACAAAGAAAAAAAUAGGAAUUAUUUGCAUUCCUUACAAUUAUUUUGGAACACAUCCUCAGUUGUGUAUAGACUUCUACUGUUACUGCAGUACAUGAAUGUGGGGGAAAGCAGUUUCUGCAUGCAUUCAGCUACCAGUAACUUCAGUUAGUACCUUGUCUGGAGUGUUCCUGCAACUAUCAUUUUUUCUCUUCUCUAGAACUGACUGCUUUCUCAAAUCUAUCUUUGCAAGCAGACUACCUUCCCAUCAAAUUGGGGAAAAUGAUACACAAAUUAAAAAAAAAAAAAAAAAGCAGCUUUCAUCUUUUUAUUGCUGUUCUAACAGCCUCUCUAAACCUCCAGUAUCUGAGGAGAAAGCAUCAUAUCUUCAGUUGGAAAAUAAGAAGCAACCUUAAUUCUUAUACAAGGCAGAUGUACAGACUUGCCUAGAAGACAGUAUCAAAAGAACUUGCUAAUUUUUAUUAUUUUCACGCAGUGGAAUGCAUUAAAUUACUUUUCAUAACUCUGAAAUUGUUAUUGUUCAUCUGUUACUGGAGAUCAGUGGGAAUAUUGUGUUUCCUGGUGCCCAACACUCGGGGUUUUCAUGGAAAGAGG